UACGUAGGGUGCAAGCGUUGUCCGGAAUUAUUGGGCGUAAAGAGCUCGUAGGCGGUUUGUCGCGUCUGCUGUGAAAACUCGGGGCUUAACCCCGGGCCUGCAGUGGGUACGGGCAGACUAGAGUGCGGUAGGGGAGACUGGAAUUCCUGGUGUAGCGGUGAAAUGCGUAGAGAUCGGGUGGAACGCCAGUGGCGAAGGCGGCAUCCUGGCCCUGACCUGACGCUGAGGCGCGAGAGCGUGGGGAGCAAACGGG
rnacentral:rRNA from 1 species